rnacentral:lncRNA from 1 species
AUGCCGUGGUCCCACAGGGGAAGGGAAAGGUGGGCGCUACGGCCGGGCUGCGCAGAGCCUCAGCAGAGCCCUGUCCCUGCAGGGCGGCCCGAGGACGGGCGAGGGGCGAGCCCAGCAGCCCCUUACAGCGUGCGGUCCUCCGGCUCCCGCUCGGCCGAGUGCCCCUCCUCGAAGGCCAGGUCGGUGAACUCCAGGGAAUGGUACUCGCCCAGGUUGACGGGACAGGAGCGCAGCGCUCCGCUCCGCACCCGCCACAGCCUCACGUUGUCCCGGCCGCACGACACCAUCCUGUCGCACAAAACCACCCUGUCACACAAAACGGUGCCGAGGAACGGCAGGGGACUCAUGCAAAAGGUCAGUGCUGACGGCGGGGGCCAAAAGCAGGAACGGCGGCAGCAGCAGCGCCCUGCUCCUGCACCUCGAGCCGCCCCCAGCCAUGGCAGACCCGGGGCUGCCCACUUGGUUUCUUUGCUCCCUACCUGGUGUCGUCAAAAAAAGCAAUCUUCAAGGUCUGGAUGUCCACGUCUGUGUGCGCUUUGGCCAGCACGACCACGUCUCCGCCACAGGUCACCUGGGCGGUGUUCCACACCACCACCACCUGAAGCAAGAGGACAGCACGGCAUUGCUGCUGAAACACGGAAACCUUGGCAGCAAGAGGGCUUCUCAUCCCAAACAGCUGCACGUACUGUGCUCUGGGCACAAAGUACCGGUAAUGGAAUUGAAGGAGUGGAAAAAAAACACAAACUUCACAUACGGAGGGUCAGGACUGUUCAAACUGCUCGGCAAAGCUUCACUCCAGUCUAUCUGUCCGGCACCCAGUUACAGGCUCACAACCCCAGGGCUGCCUGGCGGUGCGGCUCACGUUUGGGGAAGAAAAUACGGAGUGGGAGCUCUGCUUUUGGAGCUGUAAGAGCUACGCUGGGGCAGAGAUGUUCUGCGAGAGCUGGAGGCAGCGUGUGCCUGCCUGCACUCCUUUCUCACAGCACACCACUCAGCUCCAGCUUUGCUCGCGAUGCCCAUCACACGGGGCAGCAGAGCCAAGCCACGCGGCAAAGCACUGGCAAUGCAGCCUGUGAUCUUGGGGUACACUCAGAGCUUCCCCGCACCUCGUGGGGUGCUCUCUGCAGGUCUUCCACCACAAGGACUGACAGGCUUGGGGAGGUCACCCCCGAAGGAGCAGGGACGAUCAGCGAGGACAGGCCGGUGAUUUAG